CAAUAAACACGAAUUGAUAUGAAGACAAUUCUAACAGGGAAUGGUCGUGACCGACAGGUAAUUCGAGUUAUGUAUAAUAUUCGAGACAGCGGCAUUCGACUCAUCGGGAUUUGACUAUAUUAACUCUUU